UUCACCCCACACCCGAAGUGAACUUUCCUCGUAACCAUAGUAACCGCCACGACGCGAGACGGGUGUCUGGAGGAGUUCUCCUGAAAGCCGCACGCAUCAAGGGAUCAAAAACAAAUACAGUGUACACGCAGGUACUUAUUUUAACCUACCAUUUCUAAAAGUUGUUAGAAGCACUAAUAUGCUGUCGGCAUUCCUUAGAAUGUGGUUAUUUUUUCUUAAAAGGGAAAAGAAAAAAGAUCACAGUGAAUUUUAUCAUCUGAUUUCAUUUUAGCUCCAACUCACCGAUAAAAGUGCGUUUAAACAAAAAGCACAGCUUACUUUGAAAGUUUUUGAGUUUUAAAUUUUUUUAUAAUUUAAAGAGAAAAAAAAACUGAUAUUGAAUUCAUUACAUAGUUCUUAUGAGUAACUAAACAGUAAAGGUAUUUUACUUGGUUGAAAGUCAUCUAUAGUAUUGAGAAACAUGUAUUUUAUAAGUCGUUAUAAAGUCUGAGAAGGUAUUUAUUUUUAUUUUUAACAGAGUAAGAACUGUAUUAUUUAAACAAGGAAAUCAAAAUCUAGGGAAUCAUUAUUGAGAUCAUUUACUGUAAGGUGAAAUAAAAAUAUCAAAACUUAAUUUAACUGUCGGAUAAAACUGGGUCGUUAGUAUUUUUUCCUUUAACUAUUUUUCUGGUAUUAAAUAAUAUUUUUUAAUAAUUUUUUAUGGUAAACAGCAAGAAUUCCACUGUCCUUUAAUAUAUUUUUACCCAUCUGGAAUAACUUAGACAUUUCUUUUAAUCUAAAUCAUGUUUCAGUAAUUAAGACAACUUUGCUCGAAGCUGUCAUUUUCGUAAUGGCACGUUUUGCAGGUCCUCAUUAAGUAUUCCGCUUAAUUUAUACAGUGCUUAAUCGAAAAACUCGCUCAUUUAAACUUGCAUCUAUUGCUUGAUAAGGCAUAUGAUUUGAAUAAUUCUUAAUCAAAAAUAAUCAUCAAGUGACCUGUGGUUAACGGUAACAAGCAUUUCAAAAGGUAAGUCAAGCAUGUUCUUGCAUAAGCCUUGUUCGACCUCGUUGGUCAGCUGACCAAUCAGCCAGUUGGAGCUACUUUCCUUGUACUUAAUGAAGUUGGCGCAUUUUCCAUUCGUCUUGAAAAAUCGAUCAUGCUGGCAUAACACUUAUCUUUUGGAACAGAAUGAAACUUCCUGGAAGUGAAGACUCGCCAAUUUAUGUGUUUUCGAACUCUAUUUAUGCUUCAAAUGGCGUGCGUUGUCUGACAUUUGUUACGGAAAUAUUUUCCGGAACAAUAGGAAACAGAAAACACUGCUCCUGCUUGACUAUCUUUCCUUCUUGACAGACAUAGUUUAUGGACAGUUGAAGAAUUCCUCAUUCGAUUUAGUUCUAGAAAAAUCUUGUGUUAAAUCAAUUUAAACAUUGUUUUAUGUUUCAAGAGAGAGAGAUGGCACUGUUGAACCAGAAGUUAUAUUCAAAUAUUCUCUAGCCUGUUGAAAUAUGAAUUUUGUUUUUGUAACUUAAAAAUAUCAUUGUUUUAAGCUCUUCGAUUUUCCUUAAAUUAUGCUGAGUGUUUAAAGAAACAGGUUUGGUUAGAAUUAUUCUGCACGUUACAGAUUAGGAGCUGUUUUAUAAAUUUUAGUUUAAAGUGUGCCAUUUUUUAUGACCUACGCCAUUUUUAAAGUUUACUUUGAAAGACAGCGUGUUCCAAAAAGACUUUAUGUAUUCUUGGAAUCCUAAUAGAUAAUAGUGUAUAUUCUUGGCCUGGAGGUAGCAAAUUAGUAAUUAACCGAGGAAGAAAACCAAAACUCUAUCGAAAUCUGAAAAGUCACGGUACAGGAGGGUGAAAUGUAAUAAACUUCAAGACAGAUUGGAUUGCUGAAAGAAAAAGAGGUGUUGAAGCACUAUUAUUAGAAACAUCUCCAAAUUCCAACCUGUUUUAUUGUUCAUUACAUUCGCUUUCCUCUAUUGUACUUUUUCAGAUUUUGAUAGCGCUUUUGAUUUUUCUUGCUUAAAUAUUACCAAUUUGUAUACUUUUUUGUUUUCAUUUUUGAUAAGGGUUCUGAAAAUACAUACUAAGGGUAGUCUUUACCGAACACCAUGUAUAUCUUUGUGCAUGGUUAUCGACUGACAUUGAGAGUUAGAAAAUCGUUGUUAUAGUUAAUUUUCAUAGUUUUUUUUUUGUUUUAAAGAUUUAAAACUAAAUUUGAUGUUUUUUGAUGUUGAAAUUGUUUCCUCCUCAAUAUUUUUAUUUAAACAAUGUUAAUAUUGUUUGUUUUGAGCAAAACUGUGAAUUUUUUAAAAAUAAACCCUCUCUUGUACCUGAAUAAUAUAUUCAAGUUUACUCUUGAUUUAUCAGACGGGGACUAUAAAAUAACUAUUUAAUUUUCUGUAGUAGGUCCCAAAUAUAAUUUUUUUGUGAAAAAUGCUAUGUUUACACAAUAGGGCGUUACAAAUUAAUAUUAAAGCGAGGAAAAAAGAACAGUACAAAAAACUGAUUUAUCACUACUAAGGAAAAAGAGUGAAAAUGGUAAGAGUUUGAAAAUGAUAGUUAGAAAUACGAGUUUUAUCAGGUAAACUUGUUUUGGCGCUUUUCCAACCGCCUUCCUCAUUAGUGAUUUAUUAGAUUUUGUCCAGCUUUUUUUUUAUUUUUAUUUAUUUAUUUAUUUUUUUGUUUGAAUUUAAAUUUUACCCCUAAUGCUAAUGACUAGGUAAGGGUAGUUAUUACGGAAUGCAUUGCAUUUAGUGAUUUUUUAAAAGUCAAAUGCGAAUUACUGAAUGAUAAACUACUAAGGUUGCUACUUUUGUUUUUACAGUGCCAUAUCUGGAAAACAGUUUUAAAUGCAAGGUAUUUUAUUGUAUAUUGGAUAAUGUAAAUAUGAAAUUAUAAAUUAUGUAUCAUACAAAAUGUGUACAUACCUAAAGACCUUUUAUGAUGUAUAAAAAAUAGUAUAAAUAAAUACUUUAUUUUGUA